CACAGCAAAACAGGACCUCUAGCCUAGGGAGUGAAGGGAGAUUGGGAAUAAGCAGGCAAAAUGUUCCGGAUUUUAUCCAACAAAGUGCAUCUUAUGCGUGAUAUGGGGACAGCAGGCAGAUUGUACCGUACAAGUGCAUCAGGGUAACAGAACAAUGUGCGGGAUACAGCAGGAAGAGGCAAAGAGAGAUUGUUGAAGCCUCUCAGAUUCACGACCACCUGAGAAACCUUGAGGCUCUCCAUACCAGCCUCAGAGGCUGCACCUUUCUGUCCAACGGCUGGACACUGUUCCAAUUCGGCAUGUCUCCAGAAAAACUGCUACACUUCCCCCAACCCCAAACUAAACUGGGCUGGGCUGUCAUAGCACUGCUGAGGCUGGGAACUUCUCUCUCUUACAGAACAGACUGCAGCGGCUCAAGAAGGCAGCUCACCACCAUCUUUUCCUGGGCAACUAGGGACGGGCAACAAAUGCUGGC